GCUGGGCAUGGUGGCGGGUGCCUGUAAUCCCAGUUACUAGGGAGGCUGAGGCAGGAGAAUUGCUUGAACCCAGGAGGCAGGGGUUGCAGUGAGCUGAGAUCGCACCACUGCACUUCAGCCUGGGUGACAGAGUGAGACUCUGUCUCUC
ensembl:misc_RNA Metazoa_SRP Metazoan signal recognition particle RNA